UUACGACUGAAAUGUAGCAAUGGGCAAUUACUCUUGAUGUAAUUGAAUUGCUCUUCAAACGAAUUUGUUUUCAAUGGGCAACACUGCACAAAACGAUUAUUCUUUCUAUAAGAAUAAAUAAAACAGUAUUUACUCAGUCAUAUCUAUGGUUGCUCAUUCAUCCAUAAAUUCAUUUAUCCAAAAAACAAUGCUUAGGCAUCUAUUAUAUGCAGGCACUCUAGUGGGUGCAGAAGAAACAGAGGUGAAUGCAGUGGACAGGAUUCCUAUGUCAGGAAACUCGAAUUCUCAGGUUGGGCACGGCCAGGGAGAGCCCGGCAUGGGUAUUUGCUUUCUCCCUUGGCAUAAGCCUUGUUUAUAAUCUCAGCUUAAACUUUAUCUACACCUGCAGCUUCAGGCAAGAGAGGAAGAAGCAGUGGAGAAAUCAAGCCUGGCAGUGAUGGGGACACUUGAUAUGGCAUAAGCCUCUCCUCCCUCCAUCCCAAACUGCCAGGGUGCAAGAAUCAUUCCCAGAGUGGCUCCGGAGCUUCUGCUUAGGGCUGACAACCAGCUGGGAAUUGGAGCAAGCCCUUCUCUUGAGGAUGAGCGAGGAGCAAAGAAGACAUGGUCCCUGGUUUUAAGGAAUUCGGUCCAGCUGGGAAAACAAGGAGAGGAAGAAGGGUUCAGGCAGCGGAAGCAGCUACUAAGGACUCUACUCAGGAAAUUGCAGUACAGCAUGAUGGGGCAAGAAAAAGCCAGGCCAGACGCACUUGCUGUGAUGUGUUCAUAUCUGAGAGAAUCUGACAUUGUUGGGGGAUGGAGGCCCUGGAGUUUUCAAAUACUGAAUGACUGGUGUUGACCUUUAGCUGGCCAUGUUCUCUGUGCCAGAGCCAAGAACAAUCCACAGGUAUUAUUGACUUAGUGACUUAAAGCUGCCAAAGAGGAUCCGGGAUGGAACCAACAUAGGGAUGCAGGUCUGUAAAAAGGAUAAAAUUAAAUAUUGUACAGAAGUGGCCUUGUGCUUUCACAGCCUCCACAUUAGUAGAUAAAAACCAUCUUAUUUCUACUUUAUGGAUACGAAACUGAAGGAAUAAGGAAACAAGUAUAUCCAGCAUUUAUUAUUUUUAACAGAAGCACAGUGCUGAGUUUUGGAACAUACAGAGAAAUAAGCUAAAGUCAAUACCCUCCAAGCAGUCACAAACUAGUGGACAUGGCUGACUGUGAAAAAGCACAAUAAUAAAGACACAGAAUACAAUGGGAGGAUGACGUCUAAUAGCUGGAAGGUUUUGGAAGGAUUCCUCGGAGAUGGAAUCUGAGUCAGACGUGAUGGGUAGUGAGUAUUCUACAGAAAAAGUGGGAUAGCAGAGGGAAUAGUGAGCUAAGGCACCGAAAAGGAUAUACCAUGAGAAUCUGUGAGUUUUCUCACAGGAUUUAAGAGCAGGGCAGGGGUAGAAGGGAUAUAAUGUGUUCAAGGGAUUUGUAGAUGUCCUCAAAUGCCAUCUCUAGUAGCAAUGCAGAGAAAAGUUAGGGAGGCAGGGAAAUAAUUUAGGAGGCCAUUGUGAUAGUUCAGGAAAGAGGUAAUGGAGGCUUAAACUAAGCAGUAGAAAGAAAGAUAGUGAUAGCAGAAGUAGAAUCUAUCUAACUGGCAAGUGACUGGGCACAGACCGUGAAGGAGGAGGAUGCGUUGAAGAUGAUACUGACAUUAAUUUGCAUCAGUGAACACAUUACUUUUGAGCUUACUCUUGGGAAUUUCUAUUAGGGAGGAGGAAAAGUGGGUCUAGAAAUCAGGAUGUAUAUCAACCACAGGGAUAUGAUGUUUGAAUCCAUAUAAGUGGAAGAAAUCACCACGGAAUAGAGUACAAAGAAAAAAACGCACACACAAAAACACUUUAAAAUGCAGGAAGCACCUGCAUUUUAAGGCAAAGAGGGGGCAUGAAGGCGGAGGAUUCAUUGCUCUCACCUGAAUGGUCCGUCUGAGAGGAAAGCAGAUGAUGCAAGGUGAUAGAAAUCAAGGAAGAAACUUUCCAGAAAGGCAGCUCAGCUGCUGAGGGCACGAGGAGAAAGCAAUUUCCUGUGGUCAUAGAGGUCAAAUCCAAGCUCCUAAACUCCACACCUACCUACUCAAUUACCAUGUGUGAAAAACGAUGUGGUUUUUCAAGAGGAACCUAAUUCUCAUUUUACCAAUGUGAAUCGGUGGGAAUGGGUGAUCAAAAUAAAUUGCAAUUUCCAAUCUUUAUUAAACGUUCUUUGCCGCUCACACUAUUUUCCUUACAUUGAGCUUUUAAGAUAACUAUUAUCAGUCAAGUGCGAGGCCUUCCCUGCCCUCCUUCAUUUCACCCUUGUGGUUACAUGCGAGGACUUCUGAGUCACAGAAGCUGGUUGGAAUCUAACACAGCAGAUGAGGCUUGUAACUUAACUUCUCCGAUCUCAGCUUCCUCGUUUGCAAAAUGGGACCGGGGUACUUACCAAUUAAAGUUGCCAAAAGUACAUGAGCGAUUACAAGGAAAACUCAGCACAUUGCCGUCAAAGGCUCGAUUCAUUUUUGCCUUUAAUGUUUUGCAAUCUCGGUGAGGGCAGAGGACAAUUCCAAAAGAGUAUGCAUUUAGGGACUACUAUUCCUUAUGGCGUGCAGCACUGACCUGAGGCCAUGUGAGCCUCAUCUAGCCGGCACUCACGGAAAUGUAUUUGCAGGAAAAAGGAUAAAGAGCUGACAGGUUCCUGGGAACUAUGCAACCCACAAAGGGAGGGCUGGUGCAAGACGCCAGGGAAAGCCGGAUCGCAGGAACGGCCCGUGCUCCUCGGAGAACCACACGUCCCAGGGUGCAGCGCGCCCACCCCGGAAUUUUAGCCCGGCGGAUCCAACUGCGAGAGCGCCGAGGAGGGAGCAGUGCACGCUGGGACCGGUAGUUUUCAGGUCUCAAGUUCACGGGUCGGAGGACGGCCGAGGCUAGAGGUCCCUCCCCAGUCCCGCCUUUUGUCCACGUCUCACUUCUGCUGGCCAAUACCCUCUCCUGUCCCCGGAGCCAGCCCCUCUCUGAUCCGGUCCCCAUUGGUCCUGAGGCUCAGCGUCUGGGGCCCUACCCGGAAGUCGCGUUGGGGG